ACAUCAUGUUAACUGGUGUUAUAAUCUUAUUGCAGAUAAGAUCGUUAGGGUUCAAUUCCCUACAUGAUGUU
rnacentral:tRNA from 1 species